CUUGGUCAUUUAGAGGAAGUAAAAGUCGUAACAAGGUUUCCGUAGGUGAACCUGCGGAAGGAUCAUUAUUGAUUUUUAAAGAUGUGCUGGCACUCCUUCACCGGUUUGCAUGUGCACUCUGCAAAAUCUCCUUCUCUUACCCCACUGUGCACACCCAAGUAGACAAACAGAGUUACAGAGCAAUCUGUGUAAUUCCUGAUUUGCCUAUGUUUUUAUCAAACACCAAUAACAAUAUCAGAAUGAUCUAUAUAGUAAGCUUUUAACAAGCUGAAAUUUAAUACAACUUUCAACAAUGGAUCUCUUGGUUCUCGCAUCGAUGAAGAACGCAGCGAAUUGCGAUAUGUAAUGUGAAUUGCAGAAUUCAGUGAAUCAUCGAAUCUUUGAACGCACCUUGCACCCUCUGGCAUUCAGGAGGGUAUGCCUGUUUGAGUGUCAUUAAUCUCUCAACGCAAGAAACUUUGUCUUCUUGUGCUUGGAUAUUGAAGGUUUUGCUGGCGCAAACAACUGUCAGCUCCUUUUAAAUGUAUUAGCAGAGCAGUAUGGGACUGGCCUCGGUUUGAUAAGAAACUUUAUCUAUGCUGUCGCUGGGUUUUCCUCUUUGUGCUCAGCUUCAAAUUGUCUUCGGACUGUCUCUUGAGGCAACAAAAUUUCUAUUGAUCGACCUCAAAUCAGGUAGGACUACCCGCUGAACUUAAGCAUAUCAAUAAGCGGAGGA
rnacentral:rRNA from 1 species